rnacentral:rRNA from 1 species
UACGUAGGGUGCAAGCGUUGUCCGGAAUUAUUGGGCGUAAAGAGCUCGUAGGCGGUUUGUCGCGUCGAAUGUGAAAACCCGGGGCUCAACCCCGGGCCUGCAUUCGAUACGGGCAGACUAGAGUUCGGUAGGGGAGUCUGGAAUUCCUGGGUGUAGGCGGUGAGAUGCGCAGAUAUCAGGAGGAACACCGAUGGCGAAGGCAGGUCUCUGGGCCAUAACUGACGCUGAGAAGCGAAAGCAUGGGGAGCGAACAGG